UUCCUCUAUACACAAAAUUUAAUAUAAAAAAUCAACAAUAUUUAAAAAUAUCUAUUUGUUUCUUAUAGAUAUUCUUAACACAUUUCUUAUAUUCAUUCAUCCAAAACAUAUAAUAAGCUCACUAAUACAUGAAACAGAAUUAAAAGCCUAAUAUGUCCUUACAUUUUUUAUACACACCUGCGACUCAUUUCACAAAAAAUCAUACAAUUAAAAUUAAUUGAAAGUUGUACUGAAGUGUGUAUGACUUACAGUAAUUUUACUCUUAAGAUUUAUAUGUGAAAAGAGCUGCUGGCUUUCAUUUAUUCAAGUUUGAGUGUUUCUGAUGUAGUAAAUCUAGAGCAUACAAAAUGCUAUUUUCAUUUAAAACAAUAGACACAUCAUAACCUACUGAAGCUAUUAAAAUCAAAACACUAGAGAAUGAAAAUGACUAGAGGCUCUAAAGAGCCUGUGUCGCUCACCUUGGUCUAUGUGCAUAUUAAACAAAGGACACAAAUGGAUUCAUGACAAAAUUGUAUUUUGGUGAUGGUGAUGUGUUUGAAGUUCUUACUUUACUGAACAUUCUUGCUUCUUACAAUUAUAUCUAUAAUGAACUUUGCCCAUUAGUAACAGAGAAAAAUAUUUGGUAAAAAUUUACAUAAAUUUACCAAAUUAAUGAAAAUUGUUAAAAAUUGACUUUAAAGGGCAAUAACUCCUUAAGGGGUCAAUUGACCAUUUAGGUCAUGUGGACUUAUUUGUAGAUCUUACUUUGAUGAACAUUAUCGCUGUUUACAGUUUAUCGCUUUCUAUAAUAGUAUUCAAGAUAAUAACCAAAAACAGCAAAAUUUCUUUAAAAAUUACCAAUUGGAGGGCAGCAACCCAACAACCGGUUGUCCAAUUCAUUUGAAUAUUUCAGGGCAGAUAUAUAUUGACUUGAUUAACAAUUUAACUCCUUGUCAGAUUUCCUCUAAAUGAUUUGGGUUUCAGAGUUAUAAGCAAAAAACUACAUGUUACCCCUGUUCUAUUUUUAGCCGUGGUGGCCAUCUUGGUUGGAUGGCCAGGUCAUCGGACACAUUUUUCAAACAAGGUACCUCAAAGAUGAUUGUGGCCAAGUUUGAAUUAAUUUGGCCCAGUAGUUUCAGAGGAGAAGAUUUUUGUAAAAGAUAACUAAGAUUUACGAAAAAUGGUUAAAAAAUUGACUAUAAAGGGCAAUAACUCCUAAAGGGGUCAACUGACCAUUUCGGUCAUGUUGACUUAUUUGUAAAUCAUACUUUGAUGAACAUUAUUGCUGUUUACAGUUUAUCUCUAUCUAUG
rnacentral:lncRNA from 1 species